rnacentral:rRNA from 1 species
CCUGUGGAGACUGCCCGGGUUAACCGGGAGGAAGGUGGGGAUGACGUCAAGUCAUCAUGGCCCUUACGCCUAGGGCUACACACGUACUACAAUGGUGGGUACAAAGGGCAGCGAAACCGCGAGGUCGAGCGAAUCUCAAAAAACCCAUCAUAGUCCGGAUUGCAGUCUGCAACUCGACUGCAUGAAGUUGGAAUCGCUAGUAAUCCCGGAUCAGCAUGCCGGGGUGAAUACGUUCCCGGGCCUU